GCUGGCGGCAGGCCUAACACAUGCAAGUCGAGCGCGCCUUCGGGUGAGCGGCGGACGGGUUAGUAACGCGUGGGAACGUGCCCUUCUCUACGGAAUAGCCUCUGGAAACGGAGAGUAAUACCGUAUACGCCCUUUGGGGGAAAGAUUUAUCGGAGAAGGAUCGGCCCGCGUUAGAUUAGGUAGUUGGUGGGGUAACGGCCUACCAAGCCUACGAUCUAUAGCUGGUUUUAGAGGAUGAUCAGCAACACUGGGACUGAGACACGGCCCAGACUCCUACGGGAGGCAGCAGUGGGGAAUCUUAGACAAUGGGGGCAACCCUGAUCUAGCCAUGCCGCGUGAGUGAUGAAGGCCUUAGGGUCGUAAAGCUCUUUCGCCUGUGAUGAUAAUGACAGUAGCAGGUAAAGAAACCCCGGCUAACUCCGUGCCAGCAGCCGCGGUAAUACGGAGGGGGUUAGCGUUGUUCGGAAUUACUGGGCGUAAAGCGCGCGUAGGCGGAUUAGAAAGUUGGGGGUGAAAUCCCGGGGCUCAACCCCGGAACUGCCUCCAAAACUGCUAGUCUAGAGUUCGAGAGAGGUGAGUGGAAUUCCGAGUGUAGAGGUGAAAUUCGUAGAUAUUCGGAGGAACACCAGUGGCGAAGG
rnacentral:rRNA from 1 species